AUGGUUUUAAAAAUGGGAGUUUCCCUGCACAAGCUCUCUCUCUUUUUGCCUGCUGCCAUCCAUGUAAGACAUGACUUGUUCUUCCUCGCUUUCCACCAUGAUUGUGAUGCCUCCCCAGCCACGUGGAACUGGUCUUGCUCUGUCACCCAGGCUGGAGUGCAGCUCACUGCAGCCUCAACCUCCCAGGCUCAAGUGAUGCUCCCACCUCAAUCUCCUGAGCAGCUGGGACUACAGGUGUGUGCCAUCUCAUCUGGCUAUUUAAUUUUUUUUUUUUUUGUAAAGACAGUGUCUCCUUAUGUUGCCAAGGCUUGUCUUGAACCCUUGGGCUUGAGAGAUCCUCCCUCCUUGGCCUCCCAAAGUGCUGGGGUUACAGGUUUGAGCCAUCAUGACUGGCCUGAAAGCCUUGUUACCUUCUAACAUAGCACUCCUUACUCUAGUUCUAGAACAUGACAUGCCAGUUCCCAAUGAGCAGGACUGGAAAUUCCCCAAAUUCAAGCAGCCAGUGACAGCCUCCCUGGUUUGCAUUUCUAGCUCAGUAAGAUGAAUGCAGGCUCAGGUAGGGAUGAGAGGCAGAAAUUACAGGAACUCUUGGGUUGAGGACUUCUGGGGUGAGAAAUCUGGGGAAAGAAAUAGUAUGGGAGCAAUAGAAGGGUGAAGAAUCAGAACAAAGUUUGCAGAAAGGGAAUGGUGGUUGAAAUGGGGUGUGUGGAGAGGAGGAAGGACUCUCAGAGGUCUAGAGAAAAAUGGCCAAUUUUAUUCGUAUGGAUAUAUUACAAAAUAAAUACCAAACAAGGGUUAAAUCUUGUGGUAUAUUUUAAAUGUACACAUUUAAUAAAUUUAAUGUUUUUUGUUAACAUGGAUAAUAUUGUGCAAUGUUAAUAUUUAGAAUAACCUCUAGGUUUGUACAACAUAGAAAUUUAUAGUGCACUAUUUGCAGCUAUUGGAAAUAACACACAAGGUUAAAGUUAUACGGUAAAUGUAGCUUUAAAACUUUAUAAUUGUGGUGAGACACACAUAACAUUAUUUUACCAUCUUAACUAUUUUUAUCCUUUUUUUUCCUUUUUUUCAGAGGUGAAAUCUCACUCUGUCGCCCAGGCCAGAGUGCAGUGGCAAGAUCUUGGCUCACUGCAACCUCUGCCUCUCGAGCUGAAGUGAUCCUCCUGCAUCAGCCACCCAAGUAGCUGGGAUUACAGGUGUGCACCACCACACCUGGCUAAUUUUUGUAUUUUUAGUAGAGAUGGAGUUUCACCAUGUUGGCCAGGCUGGUCUCAAACUCCUGACCUCAAGUGAUCCGCCCACCUUAGCCUCUCAAAUUGCUGGGAUUACAGGCAUGAGCCACUGCACCUGGCCUGUUUUUCCUUUUAGCUCAACAGUUUUUGCUUUACAUAUUUUGCAGCUCUGUUGUUUGGUGCAUAUACUUUGGGAUUGUCAUGUCAUGAUGAACUGAGACUUUUAACAUUAUGUAAUAUCCUUCUUUGUCUUGGGUAAAUCUUUGGGGUCUGAAAUGAAUUUUAUUUCAUACCCUGUCUAUAUGUUUACUAUUAUUUAUAUGUUAAUAUGUAUUUAACAUAAAAUAUAUACUGAUUAUAUGUAAUGACAUAUUAUAUAUAUAUUGCUAAUAUAUUUGAGUGUAUGUAGUGUCUCUCUAUAUACUCUAAUACUAAUUAUUUAUUUAUAUGUUAAUAUGUAUUUAAUUUAACCUAAAAUAUAUACUAAUUAUAUGUAAUGACAUAUUACAUACAUAUUGCUAAUAUAUUUGUGUGUAUGUGAUGUCUCUGUAUAUACUUGGAUACUAAUGUAGCCACUACUGCUUUCUUUUGCUUAAUGUUUGCAUGAUAUUACUUUUCUAUCCUUCUACUUUCAACCUGACUCUACCAUUAUAUUUAAAGUGAGUUUCUUGUAGAUAUCAUAUAGUUAGAUCAUGUUUUUUAACCAACUCUGCCAGUUUCUGUUUUUUAAUUGGUACAUUUAUACCAUUUAAAUUUAAUAUAACUAUUGCUACUUUAAAAUCAAAUCUGCCAACUUAUUCUUCCCCUCUUUUAUUUCUGUUUUCCUUUUCCUCUCCUAUUUUCCUAUAGAUUAUUUCAACAUUUUUUAGAAUUUCAUUUUGAUUUAUACACAGUGUUUGUGAGUGUAUCCCUUUGGGUAGCUGUUUUAGUUAUUGCUCUAGGUAUUACAUUACAUAUAUGCAUCUACCUGUCUAUCAUAUUAUCGCAGGCUACUGGUGUCUCUACUUUAUCGGUUUGAGUGGAGUAUAGAAACCUUACCUUUCUUUAUGUUCUUUUACACUUCUUCAUUACAAUAUAUUUAUCUUAAAUAUUUCCUCUACGUACAUUUAGAACUAAUUCAGACAGUAUUGUAAUUAUUGCUUCAAUUGUUCAGCAUAAUUUGGAAGACUCAAGAGCAGAAGAAAAUUCCAUUUAUCCAUAUUUUUGCUUACUAUAUUUUUUCUUCCUUUAUUAUGUUCCAAGAUUCCUUUUUCUAAAAAAAUUAUUCUCUUUUCAUUUAGAGAACUUCCUUAUAGCAUUCUUUUUGGGUAUGGCAACUACUAAUACAUUCUCGUAGUUUUUCUUCAUGUAAGAAAGUCUUGAUUUCUCCUUUAUUCCUAAAGGAUAAUUUUGCUGGAUAUAGAAUUGUGGGUUAACAAUUGUUUUCUUUCAGCACGCUGCUUCCUUCUGACCUGCAUGGUUUCGGAUGAGAAACCAUUGUCAUUCUGUUGGGAGAAAAGCUGAGUGUUGGGAGAGAAGCUGAGGCAGGGCUUGCAUGUCUGCUGGACUUGCUGGCUCCUUGCUUCUAGCACUCCCAUUAUCUCAAGCAGUCAUUCUCAUUCACUUGAUACACUGUUUCCUUUCAACCCCCACAUCCUCACUACCUGUUUCUUUGAGCACCAAUAAAUAGCGUGGGCUCCCAGAGCUCAGGGCCUUUGCAGCCUCCACACUCGCCGUGGUGCACUGGUCCCACUUUCUCUCUCAAACUACCUUUUUCUCAUUCCUCUGACCCCACUGGACUUCAUCGCCCCUACAACCUGAUGUUGGGUCUCAUCACCCCAACAUUCCUGGCUGCCCAACGUGGGAUGAUAAAGACCCCAGUGAAGGAAUGCUAGAGCAUGUGAAAGCAGAGGACACAUUGUCAAAGGACACCGGAGGCUGUCUAAAAGAAGCUCGGCGGGAAAGCUGAGCUCUCGGAAGAACCAGGGUAACAAUGGGACAAAGUGAAAGCAGACAUUCUGCUUAUUUAAAUUUCUUAAGGCAUUUAUUAUAAAGAGGGGGAGUGAAAGUUAGUACUCAGAAUUUGUCACUCUUUAGUACAGUAAAGCAGUUUUGCCCAUGGUUUCGUGAACAAGGGACUAUGGAGUUGGAUGAAUGGGAGAGAAUUCGAAGAGAUUUUAAAAAGGCGUAUAAAGAGGGAGCAGAAAUUCCAGUUUCCGUUUGGUCAUUGUGGGCACUAAUAAAGGCAGCUCUUGAGCCAUUUCAAACAGAUGAUGAGGCAGAUUCAGAUGACGAAGAGGAGGACGAGUGUAAAAAACUAGCUUCAGAUUUGAGUGUGAGGAACAGCUACCAGAGGAGAUUGAAGAAAAGAAAGGAAAACUAAAAAAAAGUAUGUUUCACUAGCCCGUCGGCUCCACCUGCUGAAUUAAGUGAAUGGCCACCUCCUCUUUCUCCCGUUAAUGGGUGACAAAAUAAAUUAGCUGAAAAACUUGCUGCUCCUGUAGUUGCAACAUUAAAACCUGGAGCAAUUGGUGGUGCUAUACAAAAUUCUAUUCAAAAACUAGAGCCGAGGGAGACCUUGAAGCAUGGCAAUUUCCCAUUAUUAUAAUCCAGCAGGGAGGACAGAAUAUAGCUAAUUGGGUCGCUUUUCCUUUUAAGUUACUAAAGGAAUUUAAGCAAGCCAUUAGUCAAUACAGACCAAACUCUCCUUUUG
ensembl:lncRNA